rnacentral:piRNA from 1 species
AUCAAAACAUAGUCUGGCCUG